GACAGAGGGGGCAAGCGUUGCUCGGAAUCACUGGGCGUAAAGGGCGCGUAGGCGGGAUGGCAAGUCGGUCGUGAAAUCCUUCGGCUCAACCGAAGAACGUCGGCCGAUACUGCCGUUCUUGAGGGAUGCAGAGGAGAUUGGAAUUCCCGGUGUAGCGGUGAAAUGUGUAGAGAUCGGGAGGAACACCAGAGGCGAAAGCGGCGACCUGGACAGGCACUGACACUCAACUACGAAAGCGUGGGGAGCAAACAGG
rnacentral:rRNA from 1 species